rnacentral:rRNA from 1 species
AUUGAACGCUGGCGGCAUGCCUUACACAUGCAAGUCGAACGGCAGCACGGGUGCUUGCACCUGGUGGCGAGUGGCGAACGGGUGAGUAAUACAUCGGAACAUGUCCUGUAGUGGGGGAUAGCCCGGCGAAAGCCGGAUUAAUACCGCAUACGAUCUACGGAUGAAAGCGGGGGACCUUCGGGCCUCGCGCUAUAGGGUUGGCCGAUGGCUGAUUAGCUAGUUGGUGGGGUAAAGGCCUACCAAGGCGACGAUCAGUAGCUGGUCUGAGAGGACGACCAGCCACACUGGGACUGAGACACGGCCCAGACUCCUACGGGAGGCAGCAGUGGGGAAUUUUGGACAAUGGGCGAAAGCCUGAUCCAGCAAUGCCGCGUGUGUGAAGAAGGCCUUCGGGUUGUAAAGCACUUUUGUCCGGAAAGAAAUCCUUGGCCCUAAUACGGUCGGGGGAUGACGGUACCGGAAGAAUAAGCACCGGCUAACUACGAG